UACGUAGGGUGCAAGCGUUUGUCCGGAAUUAUUGGGCGUAAAGAGCUCGUAGGCGGUCUGUCGCGUCUGCUGUGAAAACCUAGGGCUUAACUCUGGGCGUGCAGUGGGUACGGGCAGGCUAGAGUGCGGUAGGGGAGACUGGAAUUCCUGGUGUAGCGGUGAAAAUGCGCAGAUAUCAGGAGGAACACCCGUGGCGAAGGCGGCUCUCUGGGACGGUACUGACGGCUGAGACGCGAAAGCGUGGGGAGCAAACAGG
rnacentral:rRNA from 1 species